GUGGAGUUCGGGACUCGCAGUCCAAGGCCAGAGGAAUUAGUUACGAGAAGAAGAAGCGAAAGCGACCUCCACCACCACAACAACUGAAUCAGCAGUCACAAGCUAGUGCAAGCCAUUAUGAGGGGAUCCCAGCAAUUAUAUCCAGUUAUCCCAACUGCUAAUUAUGAAGUUGUGAACAAGUUGAUUAGAAUAUUCGCAGCUAAUUAAUGAAUUAUGGGAUGCCAUAUUAUGUGAUCCUAGUAGUAGCAGUAACUGCGUGUGUUUGUAGUUGAAGAUCACUGUAUUUGUAUAUAUAUGUGUUAGAUUUUGGAGAUCAUGUUGUGUGUCUUGUUCUGUGUUGCUGUCUUGGAUAUAUAUGGUAUAUUGGUAUUGGCAAAUCAA